AACGUAGGAGGCAAGCGUUAUCCGGAUUUACUGGGCGUAAAGGGCGUGCAGGUGGUGGUGUAAGUGGUGCGUGAAAGCGCCCGGCUCAACCGGGCGAGGCCGUGCCAAACUGCGCGACUAGAAACAGGUAGAGGAACAUGGAAUUCGGGGUGUAGUGGUGAAAUGCGUAGAGAUCCCGAGGAACUCCAGUGGCGAAGGCGAUGUUCUGGACCUGCUUUGACACUCAGACGCGAAAGCAUGGGGAGCGAACGGG
rnacentral:rRNA from 1 species